rnacentral:rRNA from 1 species
AGAACGAACGCUGGCGGCAUGCCUAACACAUGCAAGUCGAACGAGACCUUCGGGUCUAGUGGCGCACGGGUGCGUAACGCGUGGGAAUCUGCCCUUAGGUACGGAAUAACAGUGAGAAAUUACUGCUAAUACCGUAUGAUGUCUUCGGACCAAAGAUUUAUCGCCCAGGGAUGAGCCCGCGUUGGAUUAGCUAGUUGGUGGGGUAAAGGCCUACCAAGGCGACGAUCCAUAGCUGGUCUGAGAGGAUGAUCAGCCACACUGGGACUGAGACACGGCCCAGACUCCUACGGGAGGCAGCAGUGGGGAAUAUUGGACAAUGGGCGAAAGCCUGAUCCAGCAAUGCCGCGUGAGUGAAGAAGGCCUUCGGGUUGUAAGCUCUUUACCCGGGAAGAUAAUGACUGUACCGGGAGAAUAAGCCCGGCUAACUCCGUGCCAGCAGCCGC